rnacentral:rRNA from 1 species
AUUGAACGCUGGCGGCAGGCCUAACACAUGCAAGUCGAGCGGAUGAAGGGAGCUUGCUCCUGGAUUCAGCGGCGGACGGGUGAGUAAUGCCUAGGAAUCUGCCUGGUAGUGGGGGAUAACGUCCGGAAACGGGCGCUAAUACCGCAUACGUCCUGAGUGAGAAAGUGGGGGAUCUUCGGACCUCACGCUAUCAGAUGAGCCUAGGUCGCAUUAGCUAGUUGGUGGGGUAAAGGCCUACCAAGGCGACGAUCCGUAACUGAUCUGAGAGGAUGAUCAGUCACACUGGAACUGAGACACGGUCCAGACUCCUACGGGAGGCAGCAGUGGGGAAUAUUGGACAAUGGGCGAAAGCCUGAUCCAGCAAUGCCGCGUGAGUGAAGAAGGUCUUCGGAUUGUAAAGCACUGUAAGUUGGGAGGAACGGCAGUAAGUUAAUACCUUGCUGUUUUGACGUUACCAACAGAAUAAGCACCGGCUAACUUCGCG